rnacentral:tRNA from 1 species
GGGCCCUUAGCUUAGUUGGUAGAGCGCUGGUUUUGCAUUCCAGAGGUCAGGAGUUCGAAUCUCCUAGGGUCCA